GCUGGGUGUGGUGGCUCACACCUGUAAUCCCAGCUCUUUGGGAGGUUGAGGUGGGUGGAUCACUUGAGGCUAGGAGUUUGAGACCAACCUGGCCAAAAUGGUGAAAACCCAUCUCUA
ensembl:misc_RNA Metazoa_SRP Metazoan signal recognition particle RNA